rnacentral:rRNA from 1 species
AGUGAACGCUGGCGGUAGGCCUAACACAUGCAAGUCGAACGGCAGCACAGAGGAGCUUGCUCCUUGGGUGGCGAGUGGCGGACGGGUGAGGAAUACAUCGGAAUCCACUCUGUCGUGGGGGAUAACGUAGGGAAACUUACGCUAAUACCGCAUACGGCCUACGGGUGAAAGCAGGGGAUCUUCGGACCUUGCGCGAUUGAAUGAGCCGAUGUCGGAUUAGCUAGUUGGCGGGGUAAAGGCCCACCAAGGCGACGAUCCGUAGCUGGUCUGAGAGGAUGAUCAGCCACACUGGAACUGAGACACGGUCCAGACUCCUACGGGAGGCGGCAGUGGGGAAUAUUGGACAAUGGGCGCAAGCCUGAUCCAGCCAUACCGCGUGGGUGAAGAAGGCCUUCGGGUUGUAAAGCCCUUUUGUUGGGAAAGAAAUCCAGCCGGCUAAUACCUGGUUGGGAUGACGGUACCCAAAGAAUAAGCACCGGCUAACUUCGUGCCAGCAGCCGCGGUAAUACGAAGGGUGCAAGCGUUACUCGGAAUUACUGGGCGUAAAGCGUGCGUAGGUGGUUAUUUAAGUCCGUUGUGAAAGCCCUGGGCUCAACCUGGGAACUGCAGUGGAUACUGGAUGACUAGAAUGUGGUAGAGGGUAGCGGAAUUCCUGGUGUAGCAGUGAAAUGCGUAGAGAUCAGGAGGAACAUCCAUGGCGAAGGCAGCUACCUGGACCAACAUUGACACUGAGGCACGAAAGCGUGGGGAGCAAACAGG